AAGAGGUGGCAGGGGACUGAAGAGGCUUUGCACAGUCCUGCUGGGUCAGCACUGCCUGCCUGCCUGCCUGCUCUGCAGGCCUGCGUCCGCUUUGCAGAACGCCGGCGCGAUCGCGGCCGCUCUUCUCGCCUCUGCUUUUCGCCGGAGAGACCCGCAGAGGCUGCAAGACGGGCGGCCCCCUUCUCGCGGCUCCUCACCCGCGGCUGCAAGCUUCUUCUUCCUCCUCCUCCUAGGAUAUCAAUUUUUUUCUACUUUUUGAUGAUAAUCCCCAGUAACAACACAACAUUAUACCUAUGAAAGGAUCUCUUUUGGAGUCAGGCUUAUAUCAGACAAAUGAACAAAAAGUAAAUCUGUCGGCUCCUCACAGCACGAAUUGGGGGAAAACUGCAGAAUGGUGUCAGUUGAAAUUUCGGAUUCCAAGAUGGCGUGUAUUAGGAAGAAGGUAGACCAAGAAUCUCCUCCGUUUCUUCACAAGAGCAUUGCCAAGAUACAUCAGAACAAGAGAUGCUUCACCAAACUCAGAUGCCAAGGAGGUAAUGCUGCGAAUGGAUGAACAGUGACGGCCUGGAAUUUAUAGACUGUCCUUUGGGGUGAGGUAGUAGGUUGUAUAGUUUUAGGGUUAGACCCUGACUGUCAGAUAACUAUACAAUCUACUGUCUUUCCUGAAGUGGCUGUGAUAGCAACGCAGGAGGCAUCGUCCCACUUUUCUAGAAACCGCGCUUUGUUAUUUUUUUUGUGCAUGAAGUUUUUUGAGUAAAAGCUUAGAAAAUACAGUGGCAUAUUAGAAAUAUUAGAAAUUCAAGCAACGUUACAAUCCAAUAGUCUUGUUUCUUACAAUAAACCCACUGAUGUUAAGAUGGUGGCUGCACCCACCUCAUGAAACCCCCAUCUCUUUCCACCUGCCACAGCGCACGUACACACCAGAGGUGGGUUUCAGCAGGUUCUGACCAGUUCUGGAGAACCGGUAGCGGAAAUUUUGAGUAGUUCGGAGAACCGGUAGUAAAAAUUCUGACUGGCCCCGCCCCCAUCUAUUCUCUGCCUCCCAAGUCACAGCUGAUCGAGAGGAAAUGGGGAUUUUGCAGUAACUUUCCCCCUGAGUGGGGAGGGAAUGGAGAUUUUACAGUAUCCUUUCCCUGCCAUGCCCAAGCCACGCCCAUCAAGCCAUGCCACGUCCACCAAGCCACACCCACAGAACCGGUAGUAAAAAAAAUUGAAACCCACCACUGAUACACACCCACACACCCCACAGAUACCCCAAUCCCCAAUAAUGUCUUUUUGUUUGUGUUAUACACAGAAUGAACUCUCCUUGGGUCCAGAUUGAUCAAUUUAUCUUAACAAUGGACUGAAUUGUGGAUUUUUUUUCUAAAAGAAAAGGAAUAACUCUUGCAGAAUUCAAAAAGGCCAAAAAAUAUUUUUCUUUGCGUACUAAAGCUUUAAACCUUUCAAAGUGGAUGCAAGUAUCAGUCUAAAAGCAAUGGAAUGGCUAUCCCGAAAUUGAUGUUGACUAGAAUUAUUCCUAGUCAAUGCUCCUGGGUGACAGAUUGCAGAUCAGGAAACAUUCCCAUUACAGUUAACUUUUGAAUUCAUGGAGGAGGAGAAAAAAGAGGCUGUGAGGUAAUUCUUCACAGUGAGGUGGUGAUCGAGAGCUUUAAGAUGAGGAGGUUCUUAAAAGGUGCUAAUAUUGUUGCUUUCUUUAUAAUUCGUUUAAACUUUUUCAGCUUAUCCAAUUCCUGGUUUUCCCAAUGAUCUCACAUCCUAAUCUUUUUAAAUCUUUUUAAAUUUUAUUAAUAAUGUGUAACUAACCAAAAGAAUAGUCCUUCAGUGAUCAUACAGUAAGAAACUACAAUAUUUUGCAAUGUUUAAAAUAAACUGAACAUAAUGGGAAAAAGAAAAAAAAGAAAUUAAGGGGAAAAAUGAGAUACAUGUCAUGUCAAUAUAUUAAUUUAAGCCUUAUCAUUAAAACUAGACCAUAUGAAACCAUCUGUGCCCCUUUUCAGUUUUGGAAUAUAAAAACAUUUCAAAAACCUAUAAAGAACCCAUCUUUUAAAUUUACUCCUUACUUCAGGAAGAUACAUUUUUCUUUAUCUGGGUAAAACAAUUCUUUCCCAAGCUCCAGAUUUAAUAGCACGAGUUCUUCAUAAAAUGCCAGUUUUCCUCUUUUAGGUAUAUAAUUCAACAUCACAUUUACGUCCAUCCACAAUUUUCUUUAUUCUUUUUCAACUAUAAUACCAUGUUUUCCCCAAAAUAAGACUGGGUCUUAUAUUAAUUUUUGCUCCAAAAGACGCAUUAUGGCUUAUUUUCCAGUUAGGUCUUAUUUUGACAGAAAUAAGGUACUAAAUGCAUUCAUCUGGUUGACGAUCUUAAUUGAGGGUUACUUUUAGGGUAGGGCUUUUAUUACAAGCAUCCUGAAAAACCAUGCUAGGGCUUAUUUUCCGGUUGGGUCUUAUUUUGGGGAAAAUACCGUACUAAAUGCAUCCAUCUGGCUGACAAUCUUAAUUGGGGCUUAUUUUGGGGGGUAGGGCUUAUAUUACGAGCAUCCUGAAAAAUUAUGCUAGGGCUUAUUUUCCGCUUGGGUCUUAUUUUCAGGGAAACAGGGUAUCUAUUGUAACUUGAAAUCAGGAAGGGAGCAUGACGGGACAUUACCAAAUAAUGUGAGUGAAAGUGUCUCCAAGUUUCUCAAGACACGAUCUCCUCACCAAGGAGGAAUCAGAUCCAGCAUUAAGGAUCAAGGUCAGCUGAAGCUUCACCCAGCUUUCUAGCAGGGUGAGGUAGUAGGUUGUGUGGUUUCAGGGUAGUAAUUUUGCCCCAAUCAGGAGUUAACUAUACAACCUACUGCCUUCCUUGAGGGAACAGCUUUGCAGCCUCUCUGAACGCUUCAGAGUACAAGCCUACGUAGGUUUCAUGUGACAUUCAAAUUCCCGCUUUAUUCAAAAUAAACCAAAUAAGCUGAGAAUUUCCUAGCAGAAAAGGCCGUUCUCCCCUUCAGAGAAUUGCGACUUUUCGUCUUGUUCAGAUACCCUCUCCAAGUUUUCACUAUUUCAGGACCAUGUAUGUGUAUGUGAGUAUUGAAUUAUUCCCUCUGUCAAAGCCUUUGUAUCAAUAAAUCCUACAGAAUUUGCCAGUCGAGGCAUGUUUCUAGAAAGCCUCUUCAUGAUCUCGAAGCUGAAAUAAAAGGUUUUGUGUUUUCAAG